rnacentral:rRNA from 1 species
GGAACACGUGAGAAAUUUGCCCCGAACUUUGGGAUAACAGUUGGAAACGACUGCCAAUACCGAAUGCCGUUACGAAGUGGCAUCACUUUGUAACGAAAGAAUUUCGGUUCGGGAGAAUCUCGCGGCCUAUCAGCUUGUUGGUGAGGUAACGGCUCACCAAGGCUACGACGGGUAGCUGGUCUGAGAGGAUGAUCAGCCACACUGGGACUGAGACACGGCCCAGACUCCUACGGGAGGCAGCAGUGGGGAAUCUUGUGCAAUGGACGAAAGUCUGACACAGCCACGCCGCGUGCGGGAAGAAGGCCUUCGGGUUGUAAACCGCUUUCAGCAGGAACGAAAAUGACGGUACCUGCAGAAGAAGGAGCGGCCAACUACGUGCCAGCAGCCGCGGUGACACGUAGGCUCCAAGCGUUGUCCGGAUUUAUUGGGCGUAAAGAGCUCGUAGGCGGUUCAGCAAGUCGGGUGUGAAAACUCUGGGCUCAACCCAGAGCCUGCACCCGAAACUGCUGUGACUAGAGUUCGGUAGGGGAGUGGGGAAUUCCUAGUG